rnacentral:rRNA from 1 species
CGGGUGAGUAACACGUAGGUAAUCUACCUUUGGAUUGGGAAUAACCACCGGAAACGGUGGCUAAUACCGAAUAAUGCAGCGGCACCUAAUGGUGACAGUUGUUAAGGCGGGGGAUCGUAAGACCUCGCGUCUGAAGAGGAGCCUGCGGCAGAUUAGCUAGUUGGUAAGGUAACGGCUUACCAAGGCGAUGAUCUGUAGCCGGCCUGAGAGGGCGGUCGGCCACACUGACACUGACAUACGGGUCAGACUCCUACGGGAGGCAGCAGUCGGGAAUUUUGGGCAAUGGGCGAAAGCCUGACCCAGCAACGCCGCGUGAAGGAUGAAAUCCCUCGGGAUGUAAACUUCGCAAGAACGGGAGGAAUAAGUAAGGGUUAAUAUCUCUUACGAUGACGGUACUGUUUGUAAGCUCCGGCUAACUCCGUGCCAGCAGCCGCGGUAAUACGGGGGGAGCAAGCGUUGUUCGGAUUUACUGGGCGUAAAGGGCGCGUAGGCGGCCACCGCAAGUCGACUGUGAAAUCUCCGGGCUUAACCCGGAACGGUCAGCCGAUACUGCGGGGCUAGAGUGCAGAAGGGGCAACUGGAAUUCUCGGUGUAGCGGUGAAAUGCGUAGAUAUCGAGAGGAAC